rnacentral:rRNA from 1 species
AAAAGCUCCGGCAGUAUAGGAUGGUCCCGCGUCUGAUUAGCUGGUUGGCGGGGUAACGGCCCACCAAGGCGACGAUCAGUAGCCGGCUUGAGAGAGUGGACGGCCACAUUGGGACUGAGACACGGCCCAAACUCCUACGGGAGGCAGCAGUGGGGAAUAUUGCACAAUGGGGGAAACCCUGAUGCAGCGACGCCGCGUGAGUGAAGAAGUACUUCGGUAUGUAAAGCUCUAUCAGCAGGGAAGAAAAAAGACGGUACCUGACUAAGAAGCCCCGGCUAACUACGUGCCAGCAGCCGCGGUAAUACGUAGGGGGCAAGCGUUAUCCGGAAUUACUGAGUGUAAAGGGUGCGUAGGUGGCAUGGUAAGUCAGAAGUGAAAGCCCGGGGCUUAACCCCGGGACUGCUUUUGAAACUGUCAUGCUGGAGUGCAGGAGAGGUAAGCGGAAUUCCUAGUGUAGCGGUGAAAUGCGUAGAUAUUAGGAGGAACACCAGUGGCGAAGGCGGCUUACUGGACUGUCACUGACACUGAUGCACGAAAGCGUGGGGAGCAAACAGGAUUAGAUACCCUGGUAGUCCACGCCGUA